rnacentral:rRNA from 1 species
CCUACGGGUGGCAGCAGUGAGGAAUAUUGGUCAAUGGACGAGAGUCUGAACCAGCCAAGUAGCGUGAAGGAUGACUGCCCUAUGGGUUGUAAACUUCUUUUAUAUGGGAAUAAAAUGUUCCACGUGUGGGAUUUUGUAUGUACCAUAUGAAUAAGGAUCGGCUAACUCCGUGCCAGCAGCCGCGGUAAUACGGAGGAUCCGAGCGUUAUCCGGAUUUAUUGGGUUCAAAGGGAGCGUAGGUGGAUUGUUAAGUCAGUUGUGAAAGUUUGCGGCUCAACCGUAAAAUUGCUGUUGAAACUGGCAGUCUUGAGUACAGUAGAGGUGGGCGGAAUUCGUGGUGUAGCGGUGAAAUGCUUAGAUAUCACGAAGAACUCCGAUUGCGAAGGCAGUUCACUGGACUGCAACUGACACUGAGGCUCGAAAGUGUGGGUAUCAAACAGGAUUAGAUACCCGGGUAGUC